rnacentral:lncRNA from 1 species
AGGAUGUAAAAGUUGCACAACCCUUUUACAAUUGUAAAACCGUUUGAUUUCUUAGAUGUGAAAACUUUCAUAGUAAUAAUACAUUAUUUAAUAAAAAUGGAGAACCCAAACCCCUAUACACUGUUAUCAAUGAGCCUGUGACUCUUGCGUGAAUGAGUGAAAAACACUCUGUAUUUGGAGAUCUCUCUGCCAGGGAUGCCUAUUUCUCUUCUCAUCUGAGGUCUGGCGGUUGAUGGAAUAGACAGAGACUGCCCAACUAUGGCCACAGGGUAGGAUUCCUUUGCAGAAUAAAGAGAACUUGUGGACCCAAAGAGAAGAAUUCCUCCUAGAUCAAGCCUCACUGGAAAAUUCCACUUUAAUCCAUGAAUCAGAGGGAAAAACUGGAGCCAGCCCUGUCUGAAAGUCUAGCAGUUCCUAACCAGUGCUGAGCCUGUGAAACUCAUAGUCUAGCAGGAGGUCGCUGUGGCAUCAGCUGACAAGUUGAGUCUUGCUUAAAACAAAUUCUGUCGGAGCCAUGGUGAUUUCUUGGUUCUUCCAGGACUUGGGGAGGACUUCAGAGAAAAGGCAAAAAUGCUGAGCAUGAAAUUAUUCUGAAGAUAUGGAACGCAUGGAGAAAGAGUCCCUACUCCCCACUCCCGAAGCAGGAACUCUUGGCUUUUCAAUUUCGUAUUCUCCAUCCAGAGAAAUUCCCAAGGAGGCACCACACUCCCAGUUCUCCCUUUUUCCUUGCCUUCCCAACAGCUACACAGAACUAAGAAAAGGCCAUCAUUGCGAGGGUGGAAGAGAAGAUCUUGAAAUACUCAUCAUCGUGUUUUCUUUUUCAGCACUUCCUGUCCUUUCCCCUAGUGGGCAGAAGGAUCCACUUGGCCUGAAGAAGAAUUAGAGUUAUGACUGGAAGGCCGAGGGAAAGGAGAAGUUAUUGUUCUGAAGUUUUGUUUCCACCCAGGCUCAGGAGGAAAGGCAGUUCAGAGAGUUUCUGCUCAAAGAUUUGUGGGCGGCCACUACCAGGAGGGCUGCUGUGAAUCUGGCUGGCUCCUGUCACGAGCACAAGACUCUGCCCCCUCACUUGUUUUUUUCCUUAGGGCUGGGCAGGGGCCUCCCAUGACCCAUUCUCACAUUGCCGCAGAUGAUCCUCCGUGACUCCAGAAUGUGCUGAGCCCAUCUGAUUGCCCCUUGUGGAUGGCCUUUGUGUCAAUAAUCCAAGACCCUUACAAAACCUACCUCCCACCCCUGGAAAAAGAAGGCUGAAUCCUUGACCCCAGAGGGUGGUGUUAGUGAGGGAAGAGAUCCAGCAACACUUGGUGAUUCAGAAAGCCAGUGCUCACUGACAAUGAGUGGGUAGACGCGUGGGCCUGCAGACCUGCCUCGCUGUUCCAUUAACAGCAGAACACACUUCGAGAGGCAACUGACAAUGGAGGCAACAACAACAACAACAAAAGCAGUAUUUUUCCAAUCAUAAAAAAAGAAGUCUGUUUCUGAAAACACAGUUUGAUUUGUUUAUAUUUCAUGCAGUGUUAAAAUGCUCAGUCGGUUCUAACCUUGUUUGCAUUAAUCCUCUUUUCGGAAUUUGCACAUUUGUUUUCAAAGCAUUGGGUUGGAGCAGUUUGCUGCUACAUGGAAAUCAUAUCAGCAAUCGUACUCAGAACAUGAAAUGAACCUGCACAUAGAACCCACACAAUUUUAAUGUCUGCUAACCAACUGAUAAGCACAUAGGAAGGGCAUACAAGAAUUAGAAUAGAGAGCCAUUGAGCCAACAAAGGUUCACUUUCUAAGAAUCACCACCUUCUGAGGUUACUGGUUAGUACUCUCAACAGCCAUUGCAGCAGAGGCUAAUUCAUUCAUUCACA